ACAUUUAAUGAAGAAAAUUUAAAAAUUAGGAAAUAUAAUUUUGAAAUGUAGAAUUUUAUUCCUAAUUGUUCUCCUUGAAGUUGAUUGAUCAGCACUUGGGACAAAUUGCCUCCUUCCACUGAAAUAAAAUAGCCUAAAAUGUACUUUGAACUCUAUGUCAUUAGCUAAUUGUCUCCCAACAUCACGCAUCCCCUAACUUCGGAAACUCUCUAGCAGUUGGAGGACUAAAUCACCUUGAGCUCAACGUUUAAAGGGACAGGAAAAUAACGCAUGGAGUGAGGUGGACAUGGACUGUGGGGAAGGGAUGGCUAUCCGCCAGGCUGCCAAGGUGCAUGGUACCUCGGCAGACCCUGGCAGACAGGCUGAGAGGCCGGGUGACCCAUGGUUGUCGCAGUGGACCACCCACAUUGCUUUCACCAGAGGAUGGAAAUUCUCUGGUGCAGUACUGUAUCUACAGCGCCAGCCAUGGGUUCCCCUUCACCAGACAGAGGCUGAUGAAAUACGUUGACAAAAUACACAGGUUUCAGCACCCAGGAGGAAACAAUCUCACCUCUGGGGAAGAGCUGAUGGGAAAUGUAAAGGAGGAGACACAAGAACCUGAGCAUGAGGAGGCCGGACACCCUAGAAGGGGGAGAGCUGAGUGUGCCACACAUCCGACGAUGGAAACCUUCUUUGCUUCUUAUGAGAAGCACUUGGAGGAGAGUGGGUUGAGGGAGAAACCAAGACAAAUCUAUAACUGCGAUGAGUCUGGGUUGCGUAGCGACCAGAGCAGGCACAAAGUGCUGGCCUGCAGGCACAAAGAGCAGGCACCAAUGAGCACAUCACAGUGCUAGCCUGCUUCAACGCAGCUGGGGAGGAUGUCCCUCCGUUUAUCAUCUAAACCAAGUGUUUCCCAGGUGGCCACUACACACCAAGGUCGCUGGAGACCUCAGCCAUUUUGACCACUCCUACAUUGUAAACAAAUCAGAAUUUGCCAGAGUAUGCCGCUACCCUUACCAGCGCUACAAGGACAUACGCUAUGUGGUGGAAGGGUUUAAGAAGUGUGGCCAUUUCCCUUUUGACCGUUCAGCCAUUUAAGGGCCCAUUUAGUGUCGUCACGGUCCCUACCGGGUUCCACUACCGCCUCUCCUGGAACCUGUGGUUGCCACAUGCCUCAGAGGAAUACACGCGCCAGUGGCAGGAGAGGGGUGAGAAGGAGAGGUCCGAGGCAGAGGAGAAAGAGUGUCGGGCAGCCCUCAGAGGGCAUGGGAGAGGGCUGCCAUGGAUGAGACCAUCGACGCCAUCGCCUCUGCUGGACCUCCCGCUGGAACCACUCCUGACAGCUGCAUCACCAUCACCAGUGCCUCCCAGUGUGCAACACCUGUAGGAGCCGCCAGAGCCCACAGCUGCAGAAGAAGGCCACAUGCCUAAUCUCCGGGCCACACCAUCGUCGGCACCUCAACCACACCAUUACAAACACCAGCUCCUCCAAACCAUCAUCGGCGGUUUCGUCCACCACCACGAUGCACACCAUCCCCCUGUCUGUCACCACCAACGCAGCCUCCUCUGGACCAACUGCCUCCUCCAUCUCCCCUGGUCACACCACCAUUGCAGCCUCGUCUGGUGUCGCUGCCCCCUGCAAUUUGAAUACAGCCACCUCCACAGUCCAUAGCACCAGCCUCAAGGCAUGUCCACCUCCUCCAAAACAUCUGAAGCUUCCUCCAGAGCACAGAAAAGGAAGAGAAAAGCGUCACCAGCCACCUCUGUCACGUCACCCAUGGCAGUACUCUCAGGUACUUCAUAAUAUUUGUUUUUCACUCAGUUGUAUCAAUUACUAUUGUUGCAGUAGUACUUCUACAUUUUGCAAAACCAUGUUAAUCAAUUUGAUGUGGUUUUUUUUGGGGGGGGGGGGUUCAAAUAAAAGAAGACACCACCUGCUGUGCUCACUGCGGUGAGCAUGAUCCACCUGCAAGCUCCCCGCAGGAGUGUAGGUCCUAGGUGCCAUGGGUGUGCUGUGACUUCUGCCAGCACUGGUUCCACCGUAGGUGUGUGUAGUGGGAUCUAGAGGUGGUGGUGAAGCUGGAUUUUUAUAUAUGGGGAUGGAGGUCGAGAUUUUAUUGUUUGUUUGUUUUCAUAAGAAAUUAUUUAUUUGAUUUAAAAAAAUACAUGGCUAAAAUAUAAGAUAUGUUGAUUCAACCAAUCUUUUGUAUUUCUUCCUUUACUUUCCAAGUGCAUCUCUGCAACACAAACUCCAAGUGUUUUAAUU